ensembl:lncRNA
GUUCAAGUUUCUGCGGCCGGAGGACGCGGCCUCCGCCAAUCCCAGGGCUACAGGGCGCUUUUAAAAUGCAGGAGACGUGGUUUCAAUCCCCGAUCUGGGAAGAUCUCACACACCGCUGGGCAACUAAGCCUGUGCGUCACAACUACUAAGCCAGUGCUCGAGAGCCCGGGAGCCGCAGCUACUGAAGCCUGUGUGCCCAGAGCCUGUGCUCCACCACGAGAGAAGCCAGCGCAAUGUGCAGCCCACACACCCCAACUAGAGUGUAGCCCCUGCUUGUGCAACAGAGAAAAGUCCAUGAGGCAACGGAGACCCAGGAGAGCCAAAAAUAAAU